AGCUCCAAUAGCGUAUAUUAAAGUUGUUGCAGUUAAAAAGCUCGUAGUUGGAUUUCUGGUACGGUGUACCUGGUCCGCCCCUUUAUGGUGUGUGUGUACCGGAGUGCGCCUGCCAUCCUUCCGGGGAGCGCUGUCUACCCUUCACUGGGCCGGACUCGUGACCCGGAUCGUUUACUUUGAAAAAAUUAGAGUGUUCAAAGCAGGCUUAUCGCCUUGAAUACAUUAGCAUGGAAUAAUAAGAUAGGACUCUGGUCCUAUUUUGUUGGUUUCUAGGACUGUAGUAAUGAUUGAUAGGGACAGUUGGGGGUGUCUGUACUUUACGGCCAGAGGUGAAAUUCUUGGAUUCGUAAAAGACAAACUACUGCGAAAGCAUUCACCAAGGAUGUCUUCUUUAAUCAAG
rnacentral:rRNA from 1 species